rnacentral:lncRNA from 1 species
GCAAACAGGAUGAAGACAGAGACUGAGUCGGUGGACUCUGAGGCUGAAGGCCAGUAAGGACUGAAAGAUGUGUUGCAAACCUAUUGUGGGACAGCGUGUGGAAGAGUGACCAGUCUUCCUUGAAGAGCCUGUUAACGCUUCUGAAGGAGCUGUGGAUUCCAAAGUUGCCUGUAUUGCUAACAGAGUGGCUGAAAUAGUUUACUCCUGGCAUGGAUCUGUUGGUCUCAUGGAGGUAAAACGAUAAACUGUGUGCUUAC